GAUUCCAGUGCAGGUGCUAUUGGGCACAGCCCUGGAAAAGCACUUCCAGUUACAGGAAGUUACGUAGAAUUGGGUUACCAACUCUCUGGAGAGCCCAAACAGAGCAGCUGAUACACGAUAACAGAUUCACUAUUUGAUGGGCGUUUUGACCUGAACCUUCAGAAAACUGUGACUGGGCACAGGGUGUGUCUUCCUUCUCGUGGGCCUGACUGACAGGACAUUAUUUGGACCUCCCCUAGCAAAGGUUAAAAAAAAAGUAGAAAAGUGUAGAAAAGUUAGAAAAGCAAAUGAAAGCCUUUCAUUGAAUUGCUUGGGGACGCACAUUAGAGGGAAGACAUUGACAGGGAAACACCCUAUGCUGGGCAUCAUGUCCUGGUUCUUCAGACACUGCACCACCAUUUUAGCUGGCUCAGGACUCCUUUGGAUUUUCAUCAGCUUGGGAACCCCCAACAUAAUGAAAACAUUUAUUUUCUGGUGAAAUCAGAAGCCAACUAGCUCUGCCCUGAUCUCAGUCUAGGAAUAGAGCAAUGUGGAAUUGGGCCUGAUAUGAAUAGGCCCAAUCAUCAACCAAAUCUGAGCUUACCUCCUCCCUUUAUCUCUCCUAGAAGAUAAUUGGACAGUAGCCCAUAGCCCUGAAAUAUUUAUUUUGUACUUUUCUUGAGGUGGGGGAGGAAACAACUGUGGUCUGAGCCCUGAAUACUCUGUCCAACGGUUUGGCAUCCUGGGAACAUUUCUACCUUGGUAACUCUUUGGUCACCAAUCCACACUACUUUUCCCCCUGGAAAUCUUAGAACACGAUGACAAUCAUAAUAAU